AUUAGGAAUCUUGCGCAAUGGGGGAAACCCUGACGCAGCGACGCCGCGUGGAGGAGGAAGUCCUUCGGGAUGUAAACUCCUUUUGCCAGGGAAGAAAAAGAUGACGGUACCUGGUGAAUAAGCCCCGGCUAACUACGUGCCAGCAGCCGCGGUAAUACGUAGGGGGCGAGCGUUGUCCGAAGUUACUGGGCGUAAAGCGCGCGUAGGCGGGCCUUUAAGUGAGACGUGAAAGCCCGGGGCUCAACCCCGGAGGGUCGUUUCAUACUGGCGGUCUUGAGGGAGGCAGGGAGAAGUGGAAUGGCUGGUGUAGCGGUGAAAUGCGUAGAGAUCAGUCGGAACACCGGUGGCGAAGGCGGCUUCUUGGGCCUUUCCUGACGCUGAGGCGCGAAAGCUGGGGGAGCGAACGG
rnacentral:rRNA from 1 species